rnacentral:misc_RNA from 1 species
GGCAUUUUGUCACUAUCUUGGGAUUCUCUGAAGUAUAUUCUUCAAGACACGUUGGACAGACAUCCUCAUCUUCGGAGGAUGUAUAAGAAUACCCAAGUCCAGUGGUAGAUUUAGUUGAAGGGAACUUUAGAGAUGAUUUGCCAAGGUUUUCUUUAGAUUCCUCAAGACAAGCAGAACCAUUCCAUUUGCCUGCUGAGCCCAAAG